rnacentral:rRNA from 1 species
UACGGGGGGGGUAAGCGUUGUCCGGAAUUAUUGGGCGUAAAGAGCUCGUAGGCGGUCUGUCGCGUCUGCUGUGAAAACUCAGGGCUCAACCCUGAGCGUGCGUUCGAUACGGGCAGACUAGAGGUAUGCAGGGGAGAACGGAAUUCCUGGUGUAGCGGUGGAAUGCGCAGAUAAUCAGGAGGAACACCGGUGGCGAAGGCGGUUCUCUGGGCAUUACCUGACGCUGAGGAGCGAAAGCAUGGGGAGCGAACAGG